rnacentral:rRNA from 1 species
CAGUCGAACGAUGAACCGCUUUCGGGCGGGGAUUAGUGGCGAACGGGUGAGUAACACGUGGGCAAUCUGCCCUGCACUCUGGGACAAGCCCUGGAAACGGGGUCUAAUACCGGAUACUCACUGCCUUGGGCAUCCAAGGUGGUGGAAAGCUCCGGCGGUGCAGGAUGAGCCCGCGGCCUAUCAGCUAGUUGGUGAGGUAAUGGCUCACCAAGGCGACGACGGGUAGCCGGCCUGAGAGGGCGACCGGCCACACUGGGACUGAGACACGGCCCAGACUCCUACGGGAGGCAGCAGUGGGGAAUAUUGCACAAUGGGCGAAAGCCUGAUGCAGCGACGCCGCGUGAGGGAUGACGGCCUUCGGGUUGUAAACCUCUUUCAGCAGGGAAGAAGCGAGAGUGACGGUACCUGCAGAAGAAGCGCCGGCUAACUACGUGCCAGCAGCCGCGGUAAUACGUAGGGCGCAAGCGUUGUCCGGAAUUAUUGGGCGUAAAGAGCUCGUAGGCGGCUUGUCGCGUCGGUUGUGAAAGCCCGGGGCUUAACCCCGGGUCUGCAGUCGAUACGGGCAGGCUAGAGUUCGGUAGGGGAGAUCGGAAUUCCUGGUGUAGCGGUGAAAUGCGCAGAUAUCAGGAGGAACACCGGUGGCGAAGGCGGAUCUCUGGGCCGAUACUGACGCUGAGGAGCGAAAGCGUGGGGAGCGAACAGGAUUAGAUACCCUGGU